UGCUGGAAAUCCUUUUCUCUUCUCUACUCUUACUAUUACUAGUUAUGUGACCUUGACAAGUUACUUAAUCUCUUAGUUUCCUCCUGUGAAAAAAUGAAGAUGUUAAAUAGUAUCCAUCUUAUAGGAUUGCUGUGAGAGGUACAUGAGUUAGGACAGGGAGAGCAUCUAGACAAAACAUGGAGCGUUAUCAAGACUCAGCAAAUGUUAUUCACUCUUAUUACUACUCUUGUAAUUGGUAUGAGUUAGACCAGCACUUCAGAACCUGGACUAUGCCAAGAAUUACCUGGGGAUUUUGCUAAGUUGAAGAUUCAGAUUCGGCAGGACCGGCACGUGAUGUCUCUUUGUGAGUUUCCACCUGCUUAUAGAUGAAGAAGUGAUUUCGGGACCUCGUCACAGAUUUAGUCUGUGUGUCCGCGGACGGCAAGAGUCUUCUCUGGGCUGUCCACGUGUAAUUACUGACGCCACAGUUACUAACAACAAAGACGACAACGAAAACCACGGGUGAGGACAGUAACUGGCCUCCCUGACCGGCGUGGGGCCAGGCGUCUAGCUCAGCCCUUCGCAGGCAGUAGCGGACUUAAACCUCUCAGCAGCCUUCGAGAUCUUAUUCCCAGUCCACGGGCGUCCCGCUCUCCGAAGGUGAGGGGUGCAUCCCUCCUACAGCCAGAGGGCCAUGCCGCCUCCUCCACCCAUCCAAGGACAGGCUGACUCCAACAGUGUCCUCCUUUGGAGCCAACGGAAGGGCCUCAGACACUGAACUGACAUUGAACUCCGCCUGGUGCGGAGCAGCACUGCCACCGUGUGGGCAGUGCGGGGACAACCACGGUGGCCGACCGGGAACCAGCCACAGAAGCCAGCGUUCCUGCACUUACUUAAAGUCUGUGGACACUUAAGGGACUGAGCACCCAG